ACUUAAGAGGGUGAAGAUGAAGAAGAUAGUGGCUGCAGUAAUGCUUAUAUUUCUUAUCUCUUCCCAAAUGGAGAGCGUUGAGCCCUCUGCAGCGGAUUGCUUAGAUGCUUGCUCCACUGCCUGUGUUCAAAGAGACAGCUUAUGCAACGGUGUGAUGGCAAGUGCCAGAUUAAAUGCGGUCCAGAUUCCACUAUCGAGGAGGACAUGGGUCGAGUAAUCACUUGAGACUUGAGAGCAAACAAUACCACCUGGCUCUUACUCAUUUCUGAUAUAAUUGAAGUUUGUUUGUAGUACCAUCUAAUAAUAAACAUGGAUGAGAGGAGAGCUUUUUAAUUUCAAUUUUGUUUAACAUAGAUGUUUUGUACUGUUAAGGGAGGGUGACAGAGAUUGAGAUUUAAAAUACGGAAAAAUAUUUCUCCGGCAACUUGAGAUAAUUUUAUCUCUGGUCACCUCAAAACUAUGUUGUUUUAUUUAUUAUUUUCUUAUAUUAAUUGAUUCACUUUUGAAUGAUUA